ACGUAGGGUGCAAGCGUUGUCCGGAAUUAUUGGGCGUAAAGAGUUCGUAGGUGGUUCGUUACGUCGGAUGUGAAAAUCUGGGGCUCAACCCCAGACCUGCAUUCGAUACGGGAAGACUCGAGGACGGCAGGGGAGACUGGAACUUCUGGUGUAGCGGUGGAAUGCGCAGAUAUCAGAAAGAACACCAAUGGCGAAGGCAGGUCUCUGGGCCGAUCCUGACGCUGAGGAACGAAAGCGUGGGGAGCAAACAGGAUUAGAUACCCUGGUAGUCCACGCCGUAAACUAUGGACGCUAGGUGUGGGGGACAUUCCACGUUCUCUGCGCCGCAGCUAACGCAUUAAGCGUCCCGCCUGGGGAGUACGACCGCAAGGUUA
rnacentral:rRNA from 1 species